GAUGAAGAACGCAGCGAAAUGCGAUAAGUAAUGUGAAUUGCAGAAUUCAGUGAAUCAUCGAAUCUUUGAACGCACAUUGCGCUCCCUGGUAUUCCGGGGGGCAUGCCUGUUCGAGCGUCAUUUCACCACUCAAGCCUCGCUUGGUAUUGGGCAACGCGGUCCGCCGCGUGCCUCAAAUCGACCGGCUGGGUCUUCUGUCCCCUAAGCGUUGUGGAAACUAUUCGCUAAAGGGUGUUCGGGAGGCUACGCCGUAAAACAACCCCAUUUCUAAGGUUGACCUCGGAUCAGGUAGGGAUACCCGCUGAACUUAAGCAUAUCAAUAAGCGGAGGA
rnacentral:misc_RNA from 1 species